ACUUUUUGCCACAAAACAGAACCAGGCCAUCUACCCCUUUAGCCCCAUCAGCUCUAAUAUGCCUUCAUGGCCGUAUUAUUAGGUUCAACACAUAAAGGCUCCAUUUGGAGCUCGGUGACAUUUUUUUUGAUGGUGGAAAUUAAUUAUUCACAGGUUAGGAUUAAACGCUCAGGGAGAUGGGCUGUGGCUACUAUUGGAGGGUCAACAACUCUCCCACCAAACAAAAAUACGCAGCCAGUUGCAGGGCUUGAGUACACAGACAGCUGAGUUGAGAAACAAAGGAAAAUGAUUUAAUAAAUGAAACCGUGACAACAGUUAUGUUUGUUGGCAUACAGCGAGGAGGGGGCUGGGUGGGGUGUGCAGGACUGCAGGCUUUGACAAACGGCUGUAUGUGAGGACAUUUGGACGCGCGAUACCCCGAGAAGGAGCUGCAGAGCUGCUCGCAUGGAGAGCCAAGGCGCUCACCGUCUCCAGGUCUCUGUGCGCACUCUGUAAACACAGCCGGUCCAACAUGCACUGCCACUGAGACUCUGUCUCUCAUUACUUGAACGCUACCGAUCUCAGUGAUUCCUGCUCUAACGCUUGCAUUUCUUAUUCUGUUUUAUUAUUUUUUUUCAACCACUAUCUUUUUGGAUCAGCCGCGCUGCAGGUCCCUGCAUGCCUCAAUUGUCGGCUGGUUUCCUCCAAGGACAUCGCGGGGAAGUCAGCUUGAACGCAGCUGCAUUGGCGUGGAGCGACGUUUUGAUAUUCAGGUCACACAGGGGAGUAAACACUGCUCUCCUGUUCAAUAAACAUCAUUGAUAAGGCUGCACAUCCGGCCAUUUUCAAACUCUGAAGAGGGUAACAGCAGUUAUUAUUUGUAAAUGCAGAUAAAUGUAUUUUUCCACCUUCAACUACCCUGUUUUAUUUUAAUAGGUUUUAGUUUUUGGAUGUGUUCCCUUUAUUGCUUCCUCAUUAAAGUCCUAGAAAGUUGA